UUGAACGCUGGCGGCAUGCCUUACACAUGCAAGUCGAACGGUAGAGGGGCAACCCUUGAGAGUGGCGAACGGGUGAGUAAUAUAUCGGAACGUGCCCAGUCGUGGGGGAUAACGCAGCGAAAGCUGCGCUAAUACCGCAUACGAUCUAUGGAUGAAUGCGGGGGAUCGCAAGACCUCGCGCGAUUGGAGCGGCCGAUAUCAGAUUAGGUAGUUGGUGGGGUAAAAGCCCACCAAGCCGACGAUCUGUAGCUG
rnacentral:rRNA from 1 species